rnacentral:sRNA from 1 species
CGCAGCCGCGGUAAUUCCAGCUCCAAUAGCGUAUAUUAAAGUUGUUGCAGUUAAAAAGCUCGUAGUUGAAUUUCGGGAUCAAUUGAUUGGUCAUGCCUACGGUAUGUACUAGUCAUAUUGGUUCUCACCUUCUAAUGAACCUUAAUGUCAUUCACUUGAUGUUUUGGGGAAUUAGGACUGUUACCUUGAAAAAAAUUAGAGUGUUUAAAGCAGGCUUACGCUUGAAUACAUUAGCAUGGAAUAAUGAAAUAGGACAUCGCAUUCUAUUUUGUUGGUUUCUAGGAUCGAUGUAAUGAUUAAUAGGGAUAGUUGGGGGCAUUAGUAUUCAAUUGUCAGAGGUGAAAUUCUUGGAUUUAUUGAAGACUAACUACUGCGAAAGCAUUUGCCAAGGAUGUUUUCAUUAAUCAAGAACGAAAGUUAGGGGAUCGAAGACGAUCAGAUACCGUCGUAGUCUUAACCAUAAACUAAUGCCGACUAGGGAUCGGAUGAUGUUAAUUUUUAAAUGACUCAUUCGGCUAAC